CAGGCUAAUUUUUGUAUUUUAGUAGGGACGGAGUUUCACCAUGUUGGCCAGGCCGGUCUCGAACUCCUGACCUCAAAUGAUCCGCCUGCCUCUGCCUCCCAAAGUGCUGAGAUUACAAGCAUGAGCAGCCUGGGAUCAAGGUGCAGGCAGGUUUGGAUCCUCUGGGGCCUUACUCCAUGCUGUGUAGACGGCGUCCUCUCUGUGUCCUCACAGGUUUCUCUUAUGUGCGUGCAGCACUGAGGACUGUGUCUAAAUUCUCUCAAAAGAAUACCAGUCAUACUGGAUCAGGGCCUACUCUUAAGAUCUUAGGUGACCUAAAUUUCCAAGUUAAAGACCUGUAUCUAAAUACAGUGAUAUUUUGAGUUUCCGGGGUUGUGACUUUAACAAGGGAAUCUUGAGAGGGGGGACAGUUCAGCCCAUGACACCUUUAGGGAAGAAUCGUGGUGAAACCGCUACGUUGGAUCAGGUAAUGUUUCCUUGGCUGAGACGUUUAAAGCUAUAACAAGCAACUGAAGGGAAAAAGAUGGUAUCAAAAUUUAAAAUGUUCAUUUCAGAGGAUACUAUUAAAGUAAAAAGACAACCCACAGAACAGGAUAGAUUAUCACGAUAAGGACCUGAUAUCAUGAAUAUAUUUAAAAGCUCUUAGUAAAAAUCCAAUUUAAAAAUGGACAAAGGAUUUGAAUAGACAUUCUCCAAAGAAAGACAUAUAAAUGCCUUAAAAAGCACAUGAGAUGUUUAGCAGAAUUCAUCAUCUUAGAAAUGGAAAUCAAAACCACCGUGAAAUACCACUUCACAACCACCGGGAUGGAUAAAACCCCAGUAUUGGACAGUGACAUGGAGGUGAAUUUGGGAAAAGUGAAAUCUUGAUAUAUUGCUAGUGGGAGGGGAAGUAAAAUGGUACAGUUGAUUUGGAAAAGUCUGGCAGUUCCUCAGAAAAGUUGAGCAUGAAAUCACCGUACAACCCAGCAAUUUCACUCCUAGGCAUAUGCCCAAGAAAAUUGAAAAUAUUUUGCAAGAAUCUUCAUAGCAGCAUUAUUCGUAGUAGUAGAAACAGUCCAGGUAUCUGUCGACAGGUCACUCACUGUGAGAUUCCACUCACCUUGGACGUGAAAGAUGUCAGCACCGAAGGUCACGCACUGUAUGAUUCUCCUCACAACAGGUGUCCAGAAUGGGCAAAUACAGAGAAACGGAAGUCGGCUGGCGACUUCCAGGUGCUGGCGGAAGGAAGGAGCAGGUGCUGACUCUUAAUGGGUUCAAGGUUUCUUUGGCCCGUGGUGAAAAAGUCCCAGAAUUACAUACUAGUGGUUGAUGUGCAGCUUUGAGAAUAUGCUAAAAAGACUGAAUUGUAUCCUUUAAUAUUGGGGCUUUUAUGAUUUGUAAAUUCCUUUCAAUUUCAAAAGGAACUCAAGAACUUCUUUGGUGUUGAUAUUUGGAUUGUGAAAGAGACAGUAUCCAAAACAAGUUACUAUGUAACUCACGUCCCCAGAGUUAAACUUCAUUUUCUGAGGAUCUUAAAGGAAGUGUUUGAGCCUAGGAGACACAACGAUCCUAUACUAGAUGUUACACCCCAUCUUACUGAUUUCUAUCUCACAUAGCCGUAUUCAGGGAAUACCGACACGUAAACGUGAGCUGAAUGCUAUGCAGAGGCACAUUCCUCUUACCCGGAUGAUCUUUAGUGGUGCAGUAAGAGAUGGGGUCAUAGCAACGUUAGUUUAGCUAGUUUAAUUUCCAUGGCAACAGGAAUUUGGCACAUCUGAUGAGUUAGAUGUCCCUGCACAGCUCCUAACGAGGUUGCCCAUUUCUGUGUGGUGUCUGUGUAUAUUCUUGCUGUGGAAAAAAGUGAUAGCACCUGCACAAACAGUUGCCCGGAAACACGCACGAAGCUGGUGAAGGCAGAGGACAGGUAAGAGGGAAGCAUGGCUCAGCCCUGGCAAAGAAGAUCGUUAUUCCGAACGCAGUCAGGUGGAGAGUCUUGCUGCUGGUGUCUGGGAAAUGUGUUGUGUUUGCUUCUAUCUGAACAGCUGGACCUGAGCGUGUCUGUGCUUCAACAUUUAAUCUGUACAGUAUCCUCGGCAGGGCGUGUAGCUCUGUGGCAGAGGACACCCCGGCCACAGUGGAUGUCAGCGGCGGUGGCUGGACUCAGGGUCCGUGAAUGUUGCGUGAUCGAACAUGUUUGGUUCAUUCUCAGCUCCUGCCCAGGUGCCUCCCGAGCUUCGGGUGCUGUGGCUCCCCAAACCCUUCCCAUCUGUGUGUAGCAUGACCACCACCUUCCUACCAUGUGUUUGUCCUACCACGGCUGCCGUGUCUAACGGACACUUUGCUUUCCAGCUACUUUCCUAUAAUCAAAACCCUUGAACGACUUUGCCUGCGUUUCAGAGAUGACAGGGUAUUAGUUUUUCAUGAUUACUCUGAGGAUUUCCAAAAGCAAAUGAAACUUAUGGGAUGUAAGAUAUUAGAAGUGACAGUAAUUAUAGAUGGCUUUUCUCAGUUAGUCUUUUGAUUGUGGUAAAAUUACAUAGCACUCUAAGUGUAUGGUUUGGUGGCAUUAAGUGUGUUCACACUGUUGUGCCGCGGUCACCGCCAUCCAUCUCCAGAACUUCCUGGUCUCCCCACGCUUGAAACUCGAUCUACCAAACACUAGCUCUCUUUCCGCCCCAGCUCUGGUAAGCAAUACAGAUUGCUUACAAAAUAGGCUUUUUCAGUAAGAGAAGGGGCAAGGAAAAGAGCUCUAAAGACUGUCUUGAGAUUUGAGGAAGUGUUUUAUUUGUUGCUGUCUGGUUCCCAGUGUAAAGGAACUAUUGAAGACAUGGGAAGGCGAAGGUCUGUGACCUCAGGAAGUGCUGGACUGGGCAGCUUUCCUGCUGUACCGGGGGCACUUGUCCUCAAACCUACCUGAGAUAAUCGCAUGAGGAUGGUGCUGCCUUGUGACAGCUCUGAAAUUGGUCUCCUUGAACGUUGUCAAGUACAUAAGCUUUGGCGGUUACCAUCUAGUGUCUGCGGGAGACCUAGAAUUUGAACAUUGUUGACUUUAGAACACACUCAUUUGUAUAACACUCUACCUGUUCUCAUCAAUGUGUUCUCUUUUUUUGCCUUAAUAUUCUGUGUUGCGGUAGCAGUAGUUGCAGCGGACGCUACUUCUGGUUCAUGGUCAUUGUCCAACACAAGCUUCUGGAAACCAUGUGAAAAAUGAAGGGGAAAGUGCUUUUCUGCAAAGGCUUUUUUUGAAUAUCUUGUUUUUUCUAGAAUAUCUGUUGUGGUGUAAAACGUUUUCAUAUUUACGGUUUUGUAACGUGUUUUACACUAGUUAGCUUUAAAACCUCCUGUUUUUGCAUGUCAUGGGGCUGCUUUGUCCUGUUAUUCUAUGAUAUAGCUGGUUUGCAAAACUAUUGGUUAUUUCCCUUUAAAAACCAAAGCAGCUUACAGAUAGAGUGUGAUUCCUGUAAGAAUUUAAUUGUAAAAUUGAUUUGUGUUCAAUAAGCUUACCGAAAUGACUAGAUCAGUGGACAAAAAGAUAAGAACAUGUCAAGUCUCUGGGCCAUGAAGGACUUCCAAAUAAUACACAUGAUGCACAGUAAUUUCUUAACAAAAGAUUAGAUUUAGUACAUAACUAUUUAAAACCUCCACAUUUUCUAUUACAGCCAUUCCACAGUGCCCAUGGGGGUGGGCUGCAGGACUGCCUAUGGCAUCCGAGGUCUGUGGGUGUUGAGGUCCCUGCUCUAAAAUGGCAUGGUGUUUGCAUAUGACAUACGCACAUCCUCCUGCAGACAGUCAUGUCAGGGUUGCUGGUAUCAGCUAUGCCAUGGACAUGCCAUGGGAGUAGUUGUUUAAUGAAUAAUAAAUUCUGAAUGCUUAGUACAAACACAUUAAAAAAUAUUCUUGAUCUAUGAUUGGUUGAAUCCACAGGCCUGGAACCCCGGGAGAGAGUACAAACUCUAGAAGCAAAACAAACAAAGAAAUUGAGGUCAGCAGUGACAGGUGUGGGAUCACACUGAAUCUCAUGUGUUUUGCUGUGUGUGUCACUGUGUCCCGUGUAAACAGGAAUCAUUUGUAGCUUAAGGUAAAAUAGGUAACAGGAAACAUUACAGAAUGGGCACGAAGGCGCACCCCUCAUUACCCCGUGUUACAGCCAAGUGUCUGCCUCCUGGGGAAGGAUCUGUUCUGUGGGGAGACUUCCAGAUGUGUGAAGUGAAAUGCCCUCCGAGAAGCGUGGCUUUGGCCGGAGCACAUCAGACGAGAGUUAGCGUGGCAUGGAGUUUCCACAGUGCCCCUCAGGCCUGCUACUUCUCUCCUCUCCCCCGACCCCUGGCCCUGACUCUUACCAAGGGAGGAAAGUUCAGCUCCAGUUGAGCCCCGCGCAGGGCUGUGGAUCUCUAGGGCAGAUGCCACCUUCGCCUGAAUAGGCUGUGUCAGAGGAGGGUCUGGCUGUACUUGAGCUGUGAGAGAUGCUCUCAGAGAUCCAGCAUCCUGAAAACCCAGGUGCUGAAGGUUCCUCCUCCACCGUCCUGCGGGGAAGGGGGUCUUAUCCUGCUUCCCCUCAACCCGAGCUGACUUUUGUCUGUUCUGUACACCUAGUUUUUCAGAGCAGUUAUUGUUAAUCAUCUAGCAGACAAACACCAUAAGGUGACAGCCUGGGAGGGUAGAUGGGGCUGUGGAAGAUAGUUUCCUGAAUAACAGUGUUCAGAUUCCUGUUUUGCCGUCAUUUGACCCAAGGCCUCCAGAUAAUUGAAAUAUUGUCAGCAAAACACCCAUUUUGUAUCUGAGUUUUUUUUCAUGUUUGUUUUUGUUUUUGUUUUGUUUUUAAGGAAUGGCUGCAAACUUCUAACCAGGGACCUGACAAAAGAGAAGGAUUUCUUUUCAAAGUGAAGGUCGGGGAUGGUUGGCAUUUGCCAUCUGUGACGAGCAGGGACCCAGGCUGCUUCCCUCCUGCCGCCCGACUCCUGCUGCCCGACUCCUGCCCCUUCAGCUCCUGCCCCUCCAGCUCCUGCCCCUGUUCCCACCAGCAGGAAGAGGAGCAGGAAGGUGCCUUUUCCCCUUUAAGGGGAUGAGAACUAUACAGUCUGGCAUUUGGCCGUGGCUUCCAGGACAGACUGGAUGCAGAGCGAAGUCCUCUCCUCACUGUCAAUGUUUGCCGAUGUCUUUUUGUAUAAAGUUUGUAUUUCUUGAGACUUUCAAUUAGGUUUUUGCUUAACUAGACUUUUUAAAUUGCCAUGCACAUAAUUCUACCAGUUACAAUCAUGA